rnacentral:rRNA from 1 species
GCCCUUAGAGUUUGAUCCUGGCUCAGGAUGAACGCUGGCGGCGUGCCUAACACAUGCAAGUCGAGCGAUUCUCUUCGGAGAAGAGCGGCGGACGGGUGAGUAACGCGUGGGUAACCUGCCCUAUACACACGGAUAACGUACCGAAAGGUACGCUAAUACGAGAUAAUAUAUUCUUAUCGCAUGGUAAAGAUAUCAAAGCUCCGGCGGUAUAGGAUGGACCCGCGUCUGAUUAGCUAGUUGGUAAGGUAAUGGCUUACCAAGGCGACGAUCAGUAGCCGACCUGAGAGGGUGAUCGGCCACAUUGGAACUGAGACACGGUCCAAACUCCUACGGGAGGCAGCAGUGGGGAAUAUUGCACAAUGGGCGAAAGCCUGAUGCAGCAACGCCGCGUGAGCGAUGAAGGCCUUCGGGUCGUAAAGCUCUAUCCUCAAGGAAGAUAAUGACGGUACUGAGGAGGAGCCCCGGCUAUUAC